GUGGGGAAUCUUCCACAAUGGACGAAAGUCUGAUGGAGCAACGCCGCGUGAGUGAAGAAGGGUUUCGGCUCGUAAAGCUCUGUUGUCGGGGACGAAUGUGCAGUAUUUGAAUAAAGUACUGUAAUGACGGUACCUGACGAGGAAGCCACGGCUAACUACGUGCCAGCAGCCGCGGUAAUACGUAGGUGGCAAGCGUUGUCCGGAAUUAUUGGGCGUAAAGGGAGCGCAGGCGGGAAGGUAAGUCGGUCUUAAAAGUGCGGGGCUCAACCCCGUGAUGGGAUCGAAACUAUCUUUCUUGAGUGCAGGAGAGGAAAGUGGAAUUCCUAGUGUAGCGGUGAAAUGCGUAGAUAUUAGGAGGAACACCAGUGGCGAAGGCGACUUUCUGGACGAAAACUGACGCUGAGGCGCGAAAGCCAGGGGAGCGAACGGGAUUAGAAACCCGGGUAGUCC
rnacentral:rRNA from 1 species